rnacentral:tRNA from 1 species
ACCCUGGUGGUCCAGUGGUUAAGACUCUGAGCUUCCAAUGCAGGGAGUGCGGGUUCAAUCCCUGGUCAGGGAA